GCCUACGGCCACACCACCCUGAAUGCGCCCGCUCUCGUCUGAUCUCGGAAGCUAAGCAGGGUCGGGCCUGGUUAGUACUUGGAUGGGAGACCGCCUGGGAAUACCAGGUGCUGUAGGC
rnacentral:rRNA from 1 species